UACGUAGGGGGCAAGCGUUGUCCGGAAUUAUUGGGCGUAAAGAGCGUGUAGGCGGCCAGAUAAGUCCGCUGUGAAAUCUCGAGGCUCAACUUCGAGCUGUCGGUGGAAACUAUCUGGCUAGAGUCCGGAGGAGGAGAAUGGAAUUCCUGGUGUAGCGGUGAAAUGCGCAGAUAUCAGGAAGAACACCCGUGGCGAAGGCGGUUCUCUGGGACGGUACUGACGCUGAGACGCGAAAGCGUGGGGAGCGAACAGG
rnacentral:rRNA from 1 species